rnacentral:snRNA from 1 species
GUGCUUGCUUUAGCAGCACAUAUAUUAAAAUUAGAAUAAUACGGAAAAGAUUAGGAUGGUCCCUGUGCAAGGAUGACAUGCAGAUUUGUGAAGAGUUCCGUAUUUUA